UGAUGGCGUCAUCAACCUACUGGAACCAGAUGCCCUCACCAACCUCCAUGCAAUUGAAGAUGAUGGAGAAACAUUGUCUGCGGCAUUUGAAAGGGAAGAGGAAAGGCCUAUUGAGCAUGAAAUCGAAUUCAAUGAGAGGCCAUCCACUUCUAGCUCUACUUCACAGCUUACCUCUCUUCCAGUCAAAGAGCUCUAUAAAAUCUAUCUGGGAAAACAAAUAAACAAAGCAGACUUAGAAAUGGACCACAUAAGGCAAAAGAUGCAAAAGGAUGCUUUGGAGAUCCAAAUUUUGGAACACAAGUUAAAGGUGGGUGAUGUACAAACUGGGAUGCUGUUUCCUGCUCCAAAAACAUACCCAAUAUG